GUUGAAAAAUUAGCGGAUGACUUGUGGCUGGGGGUGAAAGGCCAAUCAAACCGGGAGAUAGCUGGUUCUCCCCGAAAGCUAUUUAGGUAGCGCCUCGUGAACUCAUCUUCGGGGGUAGAGCACUGUUUCGGCUAGGGGGUCAUCCCGACUUACCAACCCGAUGCAAACUACGAAUACCGAAGAAUGUUAUCACGGGAGACACACGGCGGGUGCUAACGUCCGUCGUGAAGAGGGAAACAACCCAGACCGCCAGCUAAGGUCCCAAAGUCAUGGUUAAGUGGGAAACGAUGUGGGAAGGCACAGACAGCCAGGAUGUUGGCUUAGAAGCAGCCAUCAUUUAAAGAAAGCGUAAUAGCUCACUGGUCGAGUCGGCCUGCGCGGAAGAUGUAACGGGGCUAAACCAUGCACCGAAGCUGCGGCAGCGACACUAUGUGUUGUUGGGUAGGGGAGCGUUCUGUAAGCCUGCGAAGGUGUGCUGUGAGGCAUGCUGGAGGUAUCAGAAGUGCGAAUGCUGACAUAAGUAACGAUAAAGCGGGUGAAAAGCCCGCUCGCCGGAAGACCAAGGGUUCCUGUCCAACGUUAAUCGGGGCAGGGUGAGUCGACCCCUAAGGCGAGGCCGAAAGGCGUAGUCGAUGGGAAACAGGUUAAUAUUCCUGUACUUGGUGUUACUGCGAAGGGGGGACGGAGAAGGCUAUGUUAGCCGGGCGACGGUUGUCCCGGUUUAAGCAUGUAGGCUGGUUGUCCAGGCAAAUCCGGAUAAUCAAGGCUGAGGUGUGAUGACGAGGCACUACGGUGCUGAAGUAACAAAUGCCCUGCUUCCAGGAAAAGCCUCUAAGCAUCAGGUAACAUCAAAUCGUACCCCAAACCGACACAGGUGGUCAGGUAGAGAAUACCAAGGCGCUUGAGAGAACUCGGGUGAAGGAACUAGGCAAAAUGGUGCCGUAACUUCGGGAGAAGGCACGCUGGUGUGUAGGUGAAGUCCCUGCGGAUGGAGCUGAGACCAGUCGAAGAUACCAGCUGGCUGCAACUGUUUAUUAAAAACACAGCACUGUGCAAACACGAAAGUGGACGUAUACGGUGUGACGCCUGCCCGGUGCCGGAAGGUUAAUUGAUGGGGUUAUCCGUAAGGAGAAGCUCUUGAUCGAAGCCCCGGUAAACGGCGGCCGUAACUAUAACGGUCCUAAGGUAGCGAAAUUCCUUGUCGGGUAAGUUCCGACCUG
rnacentral:rRNA from 1 species